UACGUAGGGUGCAAGCGUUAUUCGGAAUUACUGGGCGUAAAGCGUGCGCAGGCGGUUGUGCAAGACAGAUGUGAAAUCCCCGGGCUCAACCUGGGAACUGCAUUUGUGACUGCACGGCUAGAGUGUGGCAGAGGGGGGUAGAAUUCCACGUGUAGCAGUGAAAUGCGUAGAGAUGUGGAGGAAUACCGAUGGCGAAGGCAGCCCCCUGGGAUAGCACUGACGCUCAUGCACGAAAGCGUGGGGAGCAAACAGG
rnacentral:rRNA from 1 species